CCUACGGGUGGCAGCAGUGAGGAAUAUUGGUCAAUGGGCGAUAGCCUGAACCAGCCAAGUCGCGUGAAGGAUGACGGAUCUAUGGUUUGUAAACUUCUUUUAUAUGGGAGUAAAGUGAGGAACGUGUACCGUUUUGCAUGUACCAUAUGAAUAAGCAUCGGCUAACUCCGUGCCCGCAGCCGCGGUAAUACGGAGGAUCCGAGCGUUAUCAGGAUUUAUUGGGUUUAAAGGGAGCGUAGGUGGGUUAGUAAGUCAGCUGUGAAAGUUUGUGGCUCAACCAUAAAAUUGCCGUUGAUACUGGUUGACUUGAGUAUAGUAGAGGUAGGCGGAAUUCGUGGUGUAGCGGUGAAAUGCAUAGAUAUCACGAAGAACUCCGAUUGCGAAGGCAGCUUGCUGAACUAUAACUGACGCUGAUGCUCGAAAGCGUGGGGAUCAAACAGGAUUAGAUACCCUUGUAGUC
rnacentral:rRNA from 1 species